rnacentral:rRNA from 1 species
UACGUAGGGAGCGAGCGUUAUCCGGAUUCAUUGGGCGUAAAGCGCGCGUAGGCGGCUGCCUAAGCGGAACCUCUAACCCCGGGGCUCAACCUCGGGCCGGGUUCCGAACUGGGCGGCUCGAGUGCGGUAGAGGAGAGCGGAAUUCCCGGUGUAGCGAUGGAAUGCGCAGAUAUCGGGAAGAACACCGAUGGCGAAGGCAGCUCUCUGGGCCGGCACUGACGCUGAGGCUCGAAAGCAUGGGUAGCGAACAGG